CAGCAGCCGCGGUAAAACCAGCAGCCCAAGUGGUGGUCGCGCUUAUUGGGCCUAAAGCGCUCGUAGCCUGGCCGGUAAGUUCCCCGUGAAAUCGGGUCGCCCAACGAUUCGGCUUGCGGGGAAUACUGUCGGUCUUGGGGCCGGGAGACGCCGAGGGUACUCCGGGGGUAGCGGUGAAAUGCUGUAAUCCUCGGGGGACUACCAGUGGCGAAGGCGCUCGGCGAUAACGGGCCUGACGGUGAGGGGCGAAAGCUGGGGGCGCGAACGGGAUUAGAUACCCCUGUAGUCCCUGUCUCUUAUA
rnacentral:rRNA from 1 species